ensembl:lncRNA
CCUGGCAGCAGUAAGAAGUAGCAGGCAGGCAGGCAGCAGGCUAAAUUAGGCUGUCUCAUUGACUUCCACUCCCCAGAGCCCUGUAGGCAGACCUAAGGCUGCACCAGAGGCCCUUAUUGCCUGCUGCGCUACUGUGUCUCUGAGAGUCCCUGAAGAACCUCAGUCCCUGUGAAGGAGCUAAGUGUAGGUCAGUUGUAUCUGGAUAGAGGAGUGUUGUACUUUUGAAAGGGUGUUUUGGGAUUUUCUUGGGAUGCCGAUUGAUAACGGAUGUUCACAGACCUGACUAGAGCAAGGUGGGGAUGUGCUGAGUGCUGCUCUCCUCUCAAUAUUGACUUCAGAAGGCCAGUCUGUCUCCUGUCUCUACCCCUGUGACAGAUUGACGGGCUUGGCACUGAAGGUCUGAUAUACAAAUGCACUUCUGAACAGGAACUUGGGGUCCCUCAGUCCAGCAGUGAAUUUCAAACAGAGAUUCAACCACAAAGACCAGGGAGGCUUUCCAAUGCAUCGCAAAGAAGGUCACCUACAGUAUUGAUCAAUUUUAAAACAAUUUUAAAACAUACAUUGUAUUUAUAUACAAUACCAGUCAAAAGUUUUGAAACACCUACUCAUUCAAAGGUGUUUCUUUAUGUUUGACUAUUUUCUACAUUGUAGAAUAAUAGUGAAGACAUCCACACUAUGAAAUAACACAUAUGGAAUCAUGUAGUAACCAAAAAAGUGUUAAAGAAAUUAAAAUAUUUUAUAUUUGAGAUACUUUCAAGUAGCCACCCUUUGCCUCUAUGACAGCUUUGCACACUCUUGGCAUUAUCCACAAUCUAAAUGUGUUUAUUCAACUUUCUUGUUAUUUUUCUGUUUGAUGGAAACAGUAUGAGAGUUUUAACUACAUUCCAUCUGUAGUCAAUUGUUUUAUGUAGUUGCUUUUUCAUGUUUUGAAUGUUGUAUUGUAGUAACCCUCAAGCUUUUUUUUCUCCAUAGUGUAAGGACUAUUUCAUCACGCAGAAUGUUUAUACUUAAAAAUAUGUAACUUUGUGCAGCAUCUAUAAUCGAAAUGUGUUUAUCCAACUUUCUUGUUGUUUUUCUGUUUGACUUUGUAUGGGCAUUUAUUUGACUUAUAUUGUGGUUGAUACGCAACAACAAAAAAUACUUCAUAAUAAGAUAAUACAUCAGUUAUCUACCGACAACAAAUUUGGCUAGACAGCAAAUAAACUUUAAACACCAUUUUUCUCAGUUUCAAUGUUUGCGUAGUAACUUAAGUUACUGCUUGAUUGCCUUGGUUUUUACUCAGAUUAUAUGGUUACUGCACUUUUAACACUCAAUUUUCUCUGAAACAGAACAGAAUUGAACCAGGACACUUCAUCACAAGAUAAAACACAUAAUACAAAGCCUGAUUUCAGUCUUAACUCAAUUUUCACCAAAAGUCUAGUUACUAUAUUUUGCCUUUGUAGGGCAGUAUAGUCUACACAUGUUUUAUGCAUGUCGUUUGUGGUUAUUGUCGGCCACUAAAGGUGGUCUGCACUACGGCCAGAGGUUCCGUGUGUAACAACGCAAAGUGGGAGAUCUCUAAUCAAUGCAAAAUGGAAUUAAAAUGGCGUAAUUACGUUAGCUAAAUGAGAAGGAGUAAGCUACAAUGAGCAACCAACAGGCAGGCUGUUGUUUAAACUGAAUAGAGUUGUUGUAACAUUAGACAAGGACGGAGAGCGCAGCAGAAUAGCCCCAUCUACCCUAGCUAGCUAGCUAGCUAACAUUGGCGGAUGUGGUUGAUUAAGACGUAGCCCAUGAAACAAAAAACACAUAUCUCUAGCUUAAACAGACAGUUUUAUAUUGGAAUGCUAAUACCCUUUCCAAGGGGGUGCGGACAUCGACUCUAGGGUUUUAAAUGUAGAGAAAUAUCCUCUGUGGUUAUGACAUAGAGAAGGGAUUGAGGACUGAGAGGAAAUGUCCGCAAUCGAAAUGGAGAAAUAAAGAGAUAAAUGGAGUGAGUACAAAAUACUGGCGCGAUGCAUCAAUCACCCUGCACCUCUAUUACAGGUCAAAGCAUACUAUUCCUCCAAUCUGGGUCAGAGUGACCUGGCCUGCAUUGACCAAUAGGCUUUCAACGGACCCAUAUGGGGCCCCAGUUUCUCAUCUAGAACAGAUAAUCAUAUCAAAGCUAAUUAAAAGCAGCCAUUUUGACUCAAACGUGAAUGAAUCUGUUUCUAUGUGUGGUGUGUGAUCGGUUACCAUGUGUGUGAGCAGUAAUGGAGAAAACUGAUGUCCAUCAAAGUUAAAAUUUGUGCGGUUGGAACUACCCAGCACUAGCUCUCAAGUUUCUAAUUUCAGUCCAGCUAGGAGCUAGUAUGCUCUUGAGAGAGAGAGAGAGAGAAUUGUAGAAGGAAGCUAGAGAAGGAAAUCAAGAAUGAGGGAGAAAGAAAGAACAAGAGUGCUUUGAAGUGUUUGCGGAGUUGAAGCCAGUUAGUCCUCUAGCUGGGGCUGUCAGAGAUUGUCACCCUGGGUUUAGGCCAAGCCGUGUAAAUUAGAGGUGACUUAUCACCAGCUCUAGUUAGACUGGCCUACAACGCUCUGCGCCGAUCUGCUGCUAACAGGCAAAGCUCAUCACAUCAUCCAUG